UACAGAGGGUGCAAGCGUUGUCCGGAAUCACUGGGCGUAAAGGGCGCGUAGGCGGCCUGAUAAGUAGGGGGUGAAAUCCUGCGGCUUAACCGCAGGGCUGCCUUCUAAACUGUCGAGCUUGAGCACGGUAGAGGCAGAUGGAAUUCCCGGUGUAGCGGUGGAAUGCGUAGAGAUCGGGAAGAACAUCAGUGGCGAAGGCGGUCUGCUGGGCCGUUGCUGACGCUGAGGCGCGACAGCGUGGGGAGCAAACAGG
rnacentral:rRNA from 1 species